rnacentral:rRNA from 1 species
AAAUUGAAGAGUUUGAUCAUGGCUCAGAUUGAACGCUGGCGGCAGGCCUAACACAUGCAAGUCGAACGGUAACAGGAAGCAGCUUGCUGCUUCGCUGACGAGUGGCGGACGGGUGAGUAAUGUCUGGGAAACUGCCUGAUGGAGGGGGAUAACUACUGGAAACGGUAGCUAAUACCGCAUAAUGUCGCAAGACCAAAGAGGGGGACCUUCGGGCCUCUUGCCAUCGGAUGUGCCCAGAUGGGAUUAGCUUGUUGGUGGGGUAACGGCUCACCAAGGCGACGAUCCCUAGCUGGUCUGAGAGGAUGACCAGCCACACUGGAACUGAGACACGGUCCAGACUCCUACGGGAGGCAGCAGUGGGGAAUAUUGCACAAUGGGCGCAAGCCUGAUGCAGCCAUGCCGCGUGUAUGAAGAAGGCCUUCGGGUUGUAAAGUACUUUCAGCGGGGAGGAAGGGAGUAAAGUUAAUACCUUUGCUCAUUGACGUUACCCGCAGAAGAAGCACCGGCUAACUCCGUGCCAGCAGCCGCGGUAAUACGGAGGGUGCAAGCGUUAAUCGGAAUUACUGGGCGUAAAGCGCACGCAGGCGGUUUGUUAAGUCAGAUG